rnacentral:rRNA from 1 species
CCUACGGGUGGCAGCAGUGGGGGAUAUUGCACAAUGGGGGAAACCCUGAUGCAGCGACGCCGCGUGGGUGAAGAAGCGCCUCGGCGCGUAAAGCCCUGUCAGCAGGGAAGAAAAUGACGGUACCUGAAGAAGAAGCCCCGGCUAACUACGUGCCCGCAGCCGCGGUAAUACGUAGGGGGCAAGCGGUAUCCGGAUUUACUGGGUGUAAAGGGGGCGCAGACGGCGAUGCAAGCCAGGAGUGAAAGCCCUGGGCACAACCCCGGGACUGCUCUUGGAACUGCGUGGCUAGAGUGCAGGAGGGGCAGGCGGAAUUCCUGGUGUAGCGGUGAAAUGCGUAGAUAUCAGGAGGAACACCGGUGGCGAAGGCGGCCUGCUGGACUGCAACUGACGUUGAGGCCCGAAAGCGUGGGGAGCAAACAGGAUUAGAUACCCCUGUAGUC